UGAAAGUAUUGCUUCCUUGAUGAUCCAACUAACCUUCGUUUAACUACCAAAUUUGAACAUUUAAGUUACAGGGAGAUGAGAUCAAAUCUUUUUGACAGAGUUGAUAUAUUUGAGAGUAUAACUUGGCUGAAAUUUAGAUUUACAGAACAGAAAAUAGCUCUCAAAUGUGGUAAUGUGCUGAAAAAAGUACUGUUUUACAACCUGUUACGUUUUUAUAUAUAUGCAGUCUUAGUACGUCCAGAGUCUGUCGACAUUGAGAGCAACCAAACGGCUCUUCUGAAUGAAAAUUACAACUUGACGAACCUCAACAACAAACUCACGUCAGACUUUGACAUCUUGAGGAAGGAUCACAACAAUCUGACCAUUCAAUUUGAGAGUCUCAUAAAAGACUUUACUGUCACAGAAAAUAGGGUCAUGAAUCUCACAGAAAAAAAAACAGAAGCUGGAGUCAGAGAAGAGAAACCUUACAGAGCAAAUACAAAAGCUAGAGGUAAGGCAGAACCUCAGCCAUGCUCAGUGGGCCAUUGAUGCAUACUGUCCCAAAGAAAAUAAUGGUAUGUUCACAGUUCAUUAUUUAUGCUCAAAAAUAGACAAAAACAAUAUAAAAAUUAAGGUUUCUUGUUUACUUCUGAAUCUCUACUGUUUCAGGACGAACAUGCAAAUCUUGUCAGAAAGGAUGGUUCAACUUUCAGUCCAGCUGCUAUGCAAUAAACAACACAAAUAGUCUUGAGAGGAAAACCUGGGAAGAAGCCAGAAAAGACUGCUCUGGUUGUUGUUUCUGAUCAAAUUGAAAAGGGCUUUGUCACUGAGAAAAGUUGGGGCAGUUCAGGGACUCAAGGAUACUGGAUUGGCCUGAAAUCAGAGGACAAUAAAUGGAAGUGGGUUGAUGGAAGUGAACUGACCAAUUCCAGCUGGAUUCCACAACCUGAAAAUGACAAUCAAUGUGUUAUUUGUCUUGGCAAUCAAGGAUGGAAAUCAGUGCAGUGCAAUGAAAACCUUGAGUGGAUCUGUGAAAAGAAGGCAUUGUCUGGUUUAACGCGUUGUCUGUUUAAACCUUGAAAUCAAAUUUUAAAAAGGCUUUGAAGUAUGAAAAUAUAAAUGUCAUAUUAUAUUACAUUUUAUUUUAAAAUACGC